rnacentral:rRNA from 1 species
CCACGCCGUAAACGAUGUCGACUUGGAGGUUGUUCCCUUGAGGAGUGGCUUCCGGAGCUAACGCGUUAAGUCGACCGCCUGGGGAGUACGGCCGCAAGGUUAAAACUCAAAUGAAUUGACGGGGGCCCGCACAAGCGGUGGAGCAUGUGGUUUAAUUCGAUGCAACGCGAAGAACCUUACCUACUCUUGACAUCCAGAGAACUUAGCAGAGAUGCUUUGGUGCCUUCGGGAACUCUGAGACAGGUGCUGCAUGGCUGUCGUCAGCUCGUGUUGUGAAAUGUUGGGUUAAGUCCCGCAACGAGCGCAACCCUUAUCCUUUGUUGCCAGCGAUUCGGUCGGGAACUCAAAGGAGACUGCCGGUGAUAAACCGGAGGAAGGUGGGGAUGACGUCAAGUCAUCAUGGCCCUUACGAGUAGGGCUACACACGUGCUACAAUGGCGCAUACAAAGAGAAGCGACCUCGCGAGAGCAAGCGGACCUCACAAAGUGCGUCGUAGUCCGGAUCGGAGUCUGCAACUCGACUCCGUGAAGUCGGAAUCGCUAGUAAUCGUGGAUCAGAAUGCCACGGUGAAUACGUUCCCGGGCCUUGUACACACCGCCCGUCACACCAUGGGAGUGGGUUGCAAAAGAAGUAGGUAG